AGAUCAGCAACCUUUUCCCUGCUCUUAAGAAGCAUUACAAUUCUGUUUCCCACCAUCCCCCAAAUUUCCACCUCACCCUCCCCCCAGCCCAAGUCAGGCCCCAAUUCACAGGUUCUAAUGACCACACAAUGGAAAUACCAUGUGGUAACUGGAAGUCUUUGAUGGAAAACAGAUGAGAGAGAACACUCUGCUUGUCCAGCACUUUUAUAUGUACAGCCCUCCCCCAAUGCCUUUGAGGAUGUCACCAUCCUUAUGUGCAUUGGAAUAUGUCUGGCUGAUACUGGAAUAAGAGAUUCAUCUAUUACAAAAACCAGACUGAUCUUGGCAAAUAAACCCCUCCAUGUGGACAUACCCUCCUACCACUGCUCAAGAUCAAGAGUUACUGUUAUGGAAUUUGAAAUCAUUUUACAACACUGAUGAUCUGGGUUUGACAACUAAUGACAAGGAGCACGAUAGAGAACAGGGGAUGGUCAGCCUCUGAAAAGCUAUAAGGAUAUGCUGAUGCAGAGAGCAUGAGUAGAUGAACGGUGACAUAAUCCUUAUCAGGAAUGGGAGUGGAAGUGGACUACGAACAAACAGAAGCUCGGCAACCCAAAGAAGAAGAUGAGGCUUCUGUGAUAAAGAUACUGGACUUCAUCUCAAGGCAAUGGAAGCCACUGGAAGAUUUUAAGAAACAGCAUGAGCAGAUUCCUGUUGUGAACUAUACGCUACAUGUUUCUACUAGUUUUAAUAAAUAAAAAUCUACAUUUUUCUGAACUGAUCUCAUAUAUACUCACAAAAUCUGAAAAUUCUUAAAAUUCCAUGUUGUACUGAAGUGUGCCAUUUGUAAAUUAUAAAACAAACCUCGAUAUACCACCAAACUAUUAAAAACACUUUCUCAUGUAUCAUGUAAAAUUACAUAAUUAGA